UACGUAGGGUGCAAGCGUUGUCCGGAAUUAUUUGGGCGUAAAGAGCUCGUAGGCGGUCUGUCGCGUCGGAUGUGAAAACUCGGGGCUCAACCCCGGGCCUGCAUUCGAUACGGGCAGACUAGAGUACGGCAGGGGAGACUGGAAUUCCUGGUGUAGCGGUGAAAAUGCGCAGAUAUCAGGAGGAACACCGGUGGCGAAGGCGGGUCUCUGGGCAUUAACUGACGCUGAGGCACGAAAGCCAGGGGAGCAAACGGG
rnacentral:rRNA from 1 species